rnacentral:rRNA from 1 species
AAAAAAAUUUAAUUUUGGUUCUGAUUGAACGUUUUUCAGUAGUUUUAAGACAUGCAAAUCAUUGUUUAUAAAAAGUAUAUAUUUAAAUAAAUAUUUACUAAUAAAAAACAAGGUGUAAAGGUGAGUAAUAUAGAUUAGAUACCUUAUAGUCUUCUUAAUUCGAAGAUAAUUUAUUUCUUUAAUUUUUAUUUUUACUAUUUUCACUUGCUAUCGCUCCCUCCCUCCCGUCGCUCCUUUGCUUUAGCAAGGAAAGCGAGGGAGGGAAGGAGGCGGGCGGGUGUGAGUAAAUAUUUAAGUUAAAGAUACUUUAAUUUUUUAUUUUAAAGUAUAAGUAAAAAUAAUUAGCUAUUUAUUUUAUAAAGGAAAUUUUCUGCUAUAAGAUUCGAUCUAUUCUGUUUAAAGGUAGUUGGUGGAGUAAAAGCCUACCAAGCCUACGAUCAGAAGCCAUGUUUGAUAGAGCAAAUGGCCACAUUGGGAAUGAAAUGUCCCUAGUAGUGUACACUACCAGCAGUCAAGAAUAUUAGUCAAUGCUCGAAAGAGUGAACUAGCUAACUGAAAUCGCAUUUUUCGUUUAAAAUGGUGAAUGUGAUAAUGUAAGGGAAAAAUUUGAUGUUACUUUACUAUUAGUGUUGUCCAAAGCUGUGAGAUGUAUUAGGACUACAUCGUUAAUGGCUGUUAAACUAUCAAACUCCGGAAAAGCCCUAAAGCUUAUGGUACCAAACUACAUUCGAAAGUUUGUAAGUGGAUGAAGUAAUUACUCAUGUAAGGUAAUAAGUCAUAAGAUGAAGGAAACUAAAAUGGGUUAUCGCGGAUCUAAAUCAUUUUUACUUAAAUAUAACAGUAACAGUCAACCAAUAAUAUUAAGUAAAGGUGUAAAAGAGCAACGAGUAGAUGGUAGUUGCUUUGGGUCUAUAUUAUAUCCAAAGUUAAGGUGUAUUCUAACGGGCUUCGAAAGAAGCUAUCUUGUCAAAAUCCUUUCUAAACAUUUUUUUAAUAGAUUUUACUCUACAAAUAAUAUACCGUUGAAUCCAUAUUUUGUUACUGGAUUUACUGAUGCUGAGGGAAGUUUUACUAUUUCAAUUCAAUCUAACAAUAAAGCCAGCACUAAGAUAAGAGUAAUGGCUAGAUUUAAAAUUGGAUUAAAUGCUAAAGAUCAUUCUUUAUUAAUCAAAAUUCAAGAAUUUUUUGGAGGCAUAGGAACAUUUACUUUUGAUAAUGAAAGCAACGCUUGAAUUUAUUCAGUAAGUAGUGUAACUGAAUUGCUAAAUAUUAUUAUUCCUCAUUUUAAUAAAUAUGUACUAUUAACUCAAAAAGCAGCUGAUUUUAAAUUAUUUGUGCAAAUAGUUCAAUUAAUGAACAAAGGAGCUCAUCUUAAUUAUGCUGGUUUACAAGAAAUAGUUAAUAUUAAAGCUUCUAUGAAUAAAAGUAAUUCUGAUUUUGUUAAAUCUAAGUUUCCUCAAAUUAAUCCUGUAAUAAGAGAAACCAUUGAAACUGCAAAUAUUUAUGAUCUACAUUGGAUUUCAGGUUUUGUUAGUGGAGAAGGUAAUUUUGAUGCAGGAAUUAGGAAAGCUACUAAUACUAGAAAAGAAAGAGUUUAUUUAAGAUUUAGAUUAACACAGCAUGUUAAAGAUUUUAAAUUAAUGGAACUUAUAAUUAAAUAUUUAGGUUGUGGAAGAAUUGAAUAUGAUAAUAGAAAAGAUCAUUCUGUUUUAAAUAUAGUAGUAGGAAAUUUUUCAGAUAUAAAUAACAAAAUUAUUCCUUUUUUUAAUAAGUAUCCUGUUUUAGGUAUUAAAUAUUUAGAUUAUUUAGAUUGAGCAAAAAUUGCUAAUAUGAUGAUUUUAAAUAAACAUAAAACAGUAGAAGGUUUUGAAGAAAUAAAAGUAAUAGAAGCUGGAAUGAAUAAAGGUAGAAAAAUUUAAAAAAUUAUAUGAUAAAUUUGAUGAAAUGUGGGUGCCAGAAGACUCGGUAAUGCCAGAGACGCAAACGUUAGUCACAUUAACCAGGCGUAAAGGGUGUGUAGGCAGCUUAAAAGUUAUAUUUUUAAAAUAGCUAUUUCAAAUAUUAUAUUUUGAUUUUUAAAAAUUUAAUAAAUUUAAGAUAGAAUCAUAUUGAGGAUAAGCCGAAUAAUGCUUAGAGUAGGGAUUAAAUCCUAAAAUACUAGGUGGAAUACUAAUGGUGAAAGCUUUUUAUCUAAUAAUGAUUGACGCUGAGAAACGAAGGUGAGAAUAGAAAAUAGGAUUAGAGACCCAGAUAUCUCUCACUGUCAACGAUGAAUGGUGGAUUGUUAGUUUUAAUAACUAGUAUCGAUGUUAACGCGAUAACCAUUCCGCCUUGAGAGUACGGUUGCAAAACUGAAACCAAAAAAAUUAGUCGGUCUCGAAGCAAACGAAGUGAAGCAUGUUAUUUAAUACGAGAGUACGCGUAAAAUCUUACCAGUUCUUGUAUAGCCAUAUUUAUUUAGAAUUAAUUUAUUUAUUGAAUUUUUUUAUAAUAAAUAUGAGUAGUUAUUUUUUUAAUUUAAUAACUCGUUUACAGGUGUUGCAUGGCUGUCGUCAGUCCGUGUUUUGAGAAGUAAGGUUAACUCCACUAACGGACGAAAUCCCUGUUAUAAAUUUAUACUUUAUAACUAAUGAUUUUUAAAUAUUUUCAUUUGGGGCUAAGACAAGUCGUUAUGGCCCUAAUGAACUGGGCUAUCGACGUGCCACAAGAACUUUUACAAAGUGAUGCAAAAACCGGACUUUGUAUUUUGUUUUUUACAAAAUUAAUGUUUUCUUUUUUAAGAUAAAUGUUUAAGGUCAUAAGGAUUAGCUAAUCAUUAAAGAAAGUUACUAUUAUUAAAUUUAUUUUAGACGAAUUGUCGCCUGAAAUUCGGCGACAUGAAGAAGGAAUUUCGAGUAAUCGUUGAUCACUAGCGCAACGGUGAAGAUUGCAUUCGUGAUGAACUAACUGUCUGUCACUGGGAAGGAAUUUGGAUAGGGGGAAAAAGCCACAUAAUUAUAACUUUUCAAAGAUAUCUUAAGUAAUAGUUAAUAUUAUUUUAAGUGUAGUUUUACUUAUAGGUUUAUAUAUCUAUUGAUUUAAUUAAUAUUUUAAUCUUUUAUUUUUAAAUAAACAUCUUUGUUAAACUAAUUAGUAUCUUUUAACCCAUUUGAGUAACAUCUCAAAAGUCAUAGCAAGGUAGCUGUACUGGAAGGUGCUGCUGGAAAAUAAAAUUAUUUUAACCCCUCGCUCUUGCUAAAACAUUAGCCGCCGUCCUGCUUUAGCAGCUAAAGCAAGGACGGUGAGAGAGCGAGCGCUCCUCGCUCUAAGCGACAGCUAAAGCAGGAACGGUGAGCGAGAAACAUUUAUUAUAUCUCGCACUGCUAAUGUUUUAGUAAUUUGUCUUUUACUUUUAAACUUACUUUAUUUUAAUGUAAAGCUACUUAAAUAAAGUUUAGUAAAUAUUUGCUUAGUAUACUAAAUUACUCUAUUACUCCUUACUUUAGCAGCUCACUUUCCCGCCACCCCCCCUCCCCUCGCUUACGCGUCAAAUUUGUGGGAAGCGAUAGCGAGAAUUGGUGGUGAUAGCAACUUACUAUAUAAAACAUAAAUAGCAUAGUUACUUUAGUUACCAUAAUAACCAAAGUAAAUGUUAGUCGCGCAGCGAUCGCGCAGCGAGAGAGAAAAUUUUAAUCAAAAGAUAGUAAUAAUUAUAUUUUACGAAAAAUUGUAACUGAAUAAUUACUAUUACACUACAUAAUAACAAUUAUUUUUUAAUAUUUAAUUCGUAAUAGAGAAAAAGCAAAGCUCUUAUUAUUUUUUUAUUAUUUUAUAUAUUUAAUUAAAAAAAAAAAAAAAAUUUUUUUUUUUAAAGUUAUUUAGGCUAAUGAUUUUUAAAUAUUUUCAUUUGGGGCUAAGACAAGUCGUUAUGGCCCUAAUGAACUGGGCUAUCGACGUGCCACAAGAACUUUUACAAAGUGAUGCAAAAACCGGACUUUGUAUUUUGUUUUUUACAAAAUUAAUGUUUUCUUUUUUAAGAUAAAUGUUUAAGGUCAUAAGGAUUAGCUAAUCAUUAAAGAAAGUUACUAUUAUUAAAUUUAUUUUAGACGAAUUGUCGCCUGAAAUUCGGCGACAUGAAGAAGGAAUUUCGAGUAAUCGUUGAUCACUAGCGCAACGGUGAAGAUUGCAUUCGUGAUGAACA